UGCAUUCACUACUGUAAGUCACUCUGGAUAAGAGCGUCUGCUAAAUGACUUAAA
rfam:Salmo salar isolate Sally breed double haploid chromosome ssa03, whole genome shotgun sequence.